AGAAUGCUGUACUAUAUAAUAAUCAUAUCAAAUAUUUUUGAUAUAUAAAAUAUUUCAAAAAUCAUUUGUUUUCCUCAUUUUGUUAACAGGUUGUCAUUUUCCAGACAUACACAAAUAACAGCAGUGUUCCUAUUGAGGCAAAAUAUGUCUUCCCUCUAGAAGAGACAGCAGCAGUGUGUGGUUUUGAAGCCUUCAUUAAUGGAAAGCAUGUUAUUGGAAAGGUAAAGGAGAAGGAGCAGGCGCGUAAAGAAUACAAGCAAGCUAUAGAGAAAGGCCAUGGAGCCUACCUGAUGGACCAGGAUGCACCUGAUGUGUUCACCAUCAGUGUGGGAAACCUGCCCCCUGGAGCCACAGUGCUGAUCAAAGUGACGUUCAUCACUGAGCUGGUUGUGAGAGCAGGCACCAUCAUCUUCUCCCUGCCAGGCAGUGUGGCUCCAUGGCAGCAAAGCUCAGCACUGAACCAGAGAACCCAGACCACUGUUGAAAAGGUCUGUGUGAACGAGCUUCAGCCAGAGGGGAACAGGAACAGCCUGACUCUGGUUUUACUGUCAUCCCUAAGAUAAUUGCAGAGAGGAUGUGGAUAUUCUGUCCUACAUGGGAUGGACCAAAGAGAAGCAUAACCUGUUCAGUCCCCACAGUUUAUGGUUUGUGUCACAUGUUUAAUUUAUUUCCUAAUUCUGUAGCACUAUGUCCUCCUAGUUCUUUUGACUUAUAUGAAACUUCUCUUUUUGUAACUUCUGUAUUAUUUCCCCAGAUGAAUCACACACAUUUGAUUUAAUAUGCCUCCAUGUAUGCCUUGAAUUCUCAGGUCAGUUUUGAUCUUAGAUAAUAGAGGACUGAUUGCUAUUGCAUAAAGUGCUGCACUUAAACGGCAGUUUAAACGGCGGUCCAUUAACAUUAAUUUGAACUUCAUGUUUUUGAAAGUGUCAGUGCAGUAUGACCAUGGAUUGCACUUUUCCAGAGAAAAGCGCAAUUUCCUUGGGUAAUUGCAGAUAAUACUUAUUCCUCUAAAUACAACUUUUCAAGUAGUCACUGAUUAGGCCCUAGACACUGAUUAACAUCUUUAACCACUGAUUGGCUUAUGUGCAUUUGUUCAAAAGGUAGAAAUGUUAGUAGGACAAAAAAAAAACAAAAAACAGGCUAGCUAACUAGCUACCUUUAGCAGUACCCUGGAACACAUAGAUUUUGUAAUUGUGACUUUUCAAGUAGGAAUUAGGGCCAUCUCACAAGCAUAUGUGCGUAUGUUAUGUCUGUUGAUAUACAGUUGCAUCCGGCAAUGUCAGUUUACCUAAUCUAAUCUCACUUCUCUCCACAGGAUGAUGAAGAAUUAUUUGACAACGUAGAAAACAGAUUUGGCAGUUAUAGAAAAUAUUAAUAUAGUGGAAGUGAUCCACCUGAAUCAUUUCAGAGCAGUGAUGCGGACAUGGGUUUUGGUUGCUGCGAUGGCUUUGAUAGAUCACUUUUAAAGGCUGCUGAAACGCUCUAUCUUGAAAAUGUGACUGUUCCUGAAGCACUUCCCCACAGUGCUUCCACAGAUAUGGACGAACAUACACUCUCAUCUCCUCCACGUCUACAGAGACUAAUUGCACAGUCAAGACGCUUGGCUCGAUACAGUGCAAGGCGUUCAGAAGCUGAAACUUUAAUUCAGCCCCAGCUUAAGGCAGGAUGGAAGUCUCCUCGUCUUCAAAGGAAAUUUUCCCUCCUUCAAAAACCAACAUCUCCCAAUUGUUCUUCUCAAAACAUGAUGGAAGAAGACAGUGUCCUAUAUGACACUCUCUUUUCAGCCUAAAAUGUCUGCAGAUAAUUUUGGUCUAGUUUGUGGUCUAGUUCCUCCCCAUAGAUUUUUUCUUUCCUCAUCGGCUUUUGAUGGCUUUGAUCUUAAUACAAUGAGAAGUGUUUCCAUUCAAUCUACCCAGACCAUUCCUCCUCCUCUUCCUGCUCCUUCUCCUCCUAGUGUUGGUUUAUGCUCUGGAGCCCCUACUCCUCCUGUUGUUGCAGAUCCUCCUCCCUCCCCUCCUUUGCCUAAAAUAAAAUUAGCUGCCAGUGGUAUUAAAGUCAAGGAGGCUUUUCUCCCUCCCCCUAUUGUUCAACACAUUAAUCGUCCUCUUCCUUCGAGUUCUGCUUCUUUUGGAACCCCUGUUCUUCCCAUUGUUAUGGAUACUCCUUCUUCUGGUCCGUCUCCCAAAGGAAGCUCUCUAUGCACUAAGACACUAAAAGAGGAAGUAGGCACCCCUCUCUCUCUCCCUAGUGUUGGUUUUGGAGCCCUUACUCCUUCUCCUCAUACUGUAAACCCAGAUAAGUUGAUUGUACUUAAACCAUGUGAGGCAAGUUAUCGACAGUAGAACAAAUUAAUUUGUGUAAAAGGCAUACACUUAAAACCAUAUUUGUACUGCAAUAACUGGGAUAGGAAAAUUCCAAAUUCAUGCAAAUUCAGUUUGCUUUUAAUUUUUUAAAUGACCACAUAAUGCAGUACAUUUUAUUAAAUUUUACUGAAAACACGCAACAAAGCAACAAAUAUCUUUGACAGUGAUGCUCUUCGUGAACUACCACAUGUAAAACCAUUUUUCCAAAAUAAAACAGUAUUUACUUUAAACAGUAAGAACUGGUUUUCAUAAAAUUACCAAAAUGGUUUUGUGCCAUCACUUAUUACAUAAAAUUCUUACUUUUUUCUACACUGACAUUUUCUCUCACCAUUUCUUUGAAAUACUCAACUACCUUUCUUUGUUGUUGCAAGUAGAACAUGUGUAUUGAAAUACAAACUACUUCCUUCCAAAUACAAAAAACGGAAACAUUGUUUUCAAAAUGUUUGC